rnacentral:lncRNA from 1 species
CUUAUUGAAAACUUGAGGUUCUUCGUGGGUAGGAAUAGAUCUUGAUUCUUAGCUACUAGAUCAACCACUGAAUAUCACAUAAACAAACAAGAAGAACAAACACCACUCAAUAACAUACAAUAUUCACCAUACGUAAAGCUAAAAGAAAGUCUAACGAAAAGAGCGUUCGCUUUUCAAAAACGUCGUAAGUAAUGGUUAUAACAAGAGGGUAUUCUUUUAAAAAAUGUGUAAUCUAUACUUUAUAAAACAAGACAUGAGGUUAAAAAAAUAUCUUAAUUAAAAUAUACAAAUAUUAGGUUCACCAAAUUAAUCUUUUAUAACACGUCAUAUGUUAUAUGUCUACGAUUAAGAUGAUAAAACACGUUAUAACAAUAUUAAACCUUUUAGAAAAAAUAUAGGUUAUAUAUCUAAGGUUAAUGAGUUAUGAAACACAUUAUUAGACAUUACUUUUAUAAAGAGCUUAUAAAUAGAUUAAACAACUUUUUAUGUGAAAAGAUCAUAAUUAUAUUAUUAAUCACCUAUUUAAGACGAGUUAGGUUAUGGGUCUUAAGUGGAUUUUUAUGCAAAAGAUAAUAAACAAAUAACUAUCUUUUAUUUUCAUUAGAAAACACAUAGCCUAUAUUAUUCUAUUUGAAGUCAAUAUUAAAUAACAUUUUAAGUUAUAAAGGAACUUAAACUCUUAUUACUUUAUUUUAUCCGUUAGGAAAAGCUAAGUGAUUUGUAUAUAAUGUGGACUAAAUUCUAUGAAAUCAUUAAUCAUGCAAUAAAUCUAGUUAAGAACAAAUUGACUAUAGGUUUGAUUAAUAAAAUAUGAUAAAGGAUAAUUAAUCUAUUAAUUAUCUUUAAUUCUAUUGUAGGAACAAAUGAUCUAGAUAAUUAAAAUGAAUACUAUAUUUAUUGGUAUAUUAUUAACUAUCAUUUUAGUUAUGGCAGUGUGAGCACUUAAUUAAGCAAUUAUAUCAUUAUUAGAAAAGUUAUAUGACAUAUUACUAUUUAGUACGGCUAUACUUAAACAUCUAUAACGAAUCUUAUUUAAUCAAAAUCAUGAUGUCUAUUAAAAGGGUCGUUUUACAGUUAGAAACAAAUUCUCUAAUUAUUUAAUAAGAAACCUAUAUUUACCAAUAUAACUAUCAAUUUCUUUAUUAGGAAAGCAUGAGUGCCUAAUUAAGUUAUUUUAAUAUUAUUAUAAAAUUCUACUAUUUCGGUUUUCUCCUUUCUUUUCUAAAUAGAAUUUAUACGUAUAACUAAAAAUUGUUUAUUUAAUUCUUCUAACAUUAAUAUACUAAGAAUUAAUUGUAAAUUACUAAAUGAGACUUUUAAUAACAUAAUCAUGGUUAUUAUGACAUAAAUAAAUAUCUUACUAAUUCUAAGUACUUAAGUGCCAUACUUAUAAAUACAUUUAUUAUGAAUAGUAAAAUAUAUAUUUUCAUUUGACCGGAAAUACGUGGCCUAGUAUUUCUUCUAUUUCUUCAUGCAAAUAAGUUUAUACUUAACAUACUACUUGUCGGGUACCAUAAUUAGGGGUACCCCAACACUCCUAAACUCGGUUGGUAAUCACCAUCAGCACAAGCUGCAGGAGCUGAUGGGCGCAAUUCAGGUCAAGGCUUCGUCUACUCAAGGGACACGAUCUCGCCUCGCCCGAGCCCAGCCUCGGGCGGGAACAGUAGUCCAGGCGAAUUCACGACUCGCCCGAGGGCCUCCUCAAGCAACGGGCGCACCCUCGACUCGCCCGAAGCCCAGCUCGGGCAGGCUUCGUUGUGAAGCAACCUUGGCCAAAUCGCCUCACCAACCGACCGUAUCGCAGGCGCAUUCAAUGCAAGGAUCGCCUGGCGCCUUAUCCUGACAUGCGUGCCUCAGUCGGCAAGGUCGAAGUGACCGCAGUCACUUCGCCCUCCCACUGACUGACCUGACAGGAAAACAGCGCCGCUCGCCCCUCUCCGACUGCUGUUCCACCCGCCAGGGUGAGGCUGACAACAGCUAAGUCCAGCCUCAGGCACAACAGGAAGCUCCGCCUCGCCCGACCUUGGGCCCCGGCCUCAGGAGGAGGUCUCCGCCUCGCUCGACCCUAGGGCUCGGCCCCCGCCUCGGCUUCGGAAGGUGGUCUCCGCCUAGCCCAACCCUAGGGCUCGGCCUCAACCUCGACCUCGGGAGGAAUCGCGUCCUCGCCCGACCCCGGCCUCGGCCUCAGGAGGAGUCUCUGCCUCGCCCGACCUUGGGCUCGGAUCGACCACGCCACAGGGGGUAGAUCAUUGCCCUACCCCUAGCUAGCUCAGGCUACGGGGGAACAAGACCGGUGUCCCAUCCAGGCUCGCCCCGGUAACAGGUAAUGAUGGUUCCCCGCGUGCGUCCAUGACGACGGCGGUUCUCAGCCCCCUACGAAAGCAAGGAGACGUCAGCAAGGUCCCAGCAGCCCCGACAGCUGUGCUUCUACAGGGCUCCAGUGCUCCUCCGACGGCCACGACACCGCAUAUACAGGGCUCUAGCACCUCUCCAACAACCACGUUAGCAUGUACAUAGGGCUCUGGCUCCUCUCUGCUGGACACGUUAGCAUAUUGCUACACCCCCAUUGUACACCUGGACCCUCUCCUUGCAUCUAUAAAAGGAAGGUCCAGGGCCCUCAUACGGGAGGGUGGUCGCGCGGGAGGACGGGCUGAUGAACCGGCUCACACUCUCCCUCUCUCUCCCUCGCGAACACUUGUAACCCCUACUGCAAGCGCACCCACUCCGGCGCAGGAUAACACGAGCCGCGGUUUCCCCCCCUUUGUGUUCCAUCUCGCGCCAACCCAUCUGGGUUGGGGCACGCAGCGACAAUUUUACUCGUCGGUCCAGGGACCCCCCGGGGUCGACACGCCGACAGUUGGCGCGCCAGGUAGGGGCCUGCUGCGUGUUGACGAACAACUUCCCGUUGAGUUCCAGAUGGGUAGUCCCCAGCAACCUCUUCAGCCCGGGACGCUGCUCCGUUUCGGGAGUCUCGAGUUCAUGUCCCUCGACGGAAGCUACGACAUGGUACUCCUUCCCCGCAGCGCGGCAGCGACAACGACGACCGUCAACCCACCCGGCGACGGUGGACUCGGCGACGUCUUCCCCUCAUGGCGGAAGAGCAGCAUCCGGGUUUGUCCCGUCGCCUUCCUCGCCGCAGGAGGAGGAGGCGGGGCAACCGUGGCCAAGCAGGAGGCGGCACCUCGUCGGCUGUCGAGCGAGUCGACGACGUUGGCACCCCAGCGAGGGACAUGUCGGGCGUUGCCCUCACGCCUGAGACGACGACGAGCGUCGUUUCCCCGCGGCACGCCAACCCCAAGCGGAUAGAUGAUGCCAGCACACUCGCGGAGGACUCGCUGGGCGUUAGCCUCAUACCUGAGAUAACGGUGCAUCCGUCCCCGACGCAACUUCGUCACCAUCCAUCGAUCGAGAGUGCCAUGCGAGACUUCAUCACCGCAUGUGACUACUGCCUCUUCGAUUGCUCCGAUGAUGGCCACAGCCUUGACGAUGAAGGUUGUGGCCCAAGUCGUGAAUGUUUCCACGUCGAUCUAGGGGGUCACGACGAAGGCAACCACCUUGGUAUGCCGGAGGACGAUGAUCCCCCUGGGCCUGCGCCUCGCGUUGACAUCCUGCGGGAGCUAGCUGUGGUCCCAGUCCCUGCGAGGGGUCAGGGCACACAGCUUGAGCAAAUCCGCGGGAUGCAGGCCAAGCUCGACGAGGAAGUAGGACAACUUGUGCAGCUCCGGCAAAACAUCGAGCAAGAGUGGGCAGGCCGAGCACUAGCUGGAGAGGCGCGUCAUCAGGCCUAGGACGUCCAGCGCCGUAUCACUGACGAUGCCAGGGCAAGGCUGCCCCCGACCUCCAGCGGGGUCGGCCAGAAUCUGGCUGCAGCGGCAAUGCUGCUCCGAGCGAUGCCGGAGCCAUCCACCACCGAAGGGCGGCGUAUCCAGGGAGAACUCAAGAAUCUCCUGGAGGAUGCCGCGGUCCGGCGGGCCGAGAGCUCUGCCUCCCGAAGGCAAGGGUGCCCUCCGGAGCAUCGCGCCGCGACUUCCCGAUUCAUGCGGGAAGCCUCGAUCCACACCGGGCGCACGCGGGACGCAACGCCUGCAGCCCCGGGUAGCCUCGGCAACGAGCACCAUUGCCGCGACCGUCGAGCAUGUCUCGACGAGAAGGUGCGCCGAGGCUACCACCCCAGGCGUGGGGGACGCUACGACAGUGGGGAGGAUCGGAGCCCCUCGCCCGAACCACCUGGUCCGCAAGCCUUCAGCCAGGCCAUACGACGGGCGCCGUUCCCGACCCAGUUCCGAGCCCCGACUACCAUCACUAAGUACUUGGGGGAAACGAGGCCGAAACUGUGGCUUGCGGACUACCGGCUGGCCUGCCAGCUAGGUGGAACGGACGAUGACAACCUCAUCAUCCGCAACCUCCCCCUGUUCCUCUCCGACGCUGCCCGAGCCUGGCUGGAGCAUCUGCCUCUUGCGCAGAUCUCCAACUGGGACGAUCUGGUCAAAGCCUUCGCUGGGAACUCUUGGGAUCUCCGAAGCUGCCGCCAGUAGCCAGGGGAAUCCCUGCGGGAGUACAUCCGGCGAUUUUUGAAGCAGCGCACCGAGCUGCCCAACAUCACCGACUCAGACAUCAUCGGGGCGUUCCUCGCCGGCACCACUUGCCGUGACCUAGUGAGAAAACUGGGUCGCAAGACUCCCACCAGGGCGAGCAAGUUGAUGGACAUCGCCACCAAGUUCGCCUCUGGUCAGGAGGCGGUCGAGGCCAUCUUCCGGAAGGACAAGCAGCGUCAGGGACGCCAGCAAGAAGACGUCCCCGAGGCGUCCGCCCAGCGUGGCACGAAGAAGAAAGGCAAGAAGUCGCAAACGAAACGCGACGCCGCCGACGCAGAUCUUGUCGCUGCCGCCGAGCACAGGAGCCUUCGGAAGCCUCCCGGAGGGGCCAACCUGUUCGACAAGAUGCUCAAGGAGUCGUGCCCCUAUCAUCAGGGUCCCGUCAAGCACACCCUUGAGGAAUGCGUCAUGCUUCGGCGUUAUUUCCAUAAGGCCGGGCCCCCGGCGGAAGGUGGCAAAGGCCAUGACAACGACACGAAGGAGGGCGACAAGGCAGAGGAGUUCCCCGAGGUCCACGACUGUUUCAUGAUCUACGGUGGGCGAGUGGCGAACGCCUCGGCUCGGCACCGCAAGCAGGAGCGCCGGGAGGUCUGCUCGGUAAAGGUGGCGGCGCCAGUCUAUCUAGACUGGUCCGACAAGCCCAUCACCUUCGACCAAGGCGACCACCCCGACUGCGUGCCGAGCCCAGGAAAGUACCCGCUCGUUGUCGACCCCAUCAUCGGCAACGUCAGGCUCACCAAGGUCCUCAUGGACGGAGGCAGCAGCCUCAACAUCAUCUACGCUGAGACCCUCGGGCUCUUGGAAAUCGAUCUGUCCACGAUCCGGGCCGGUGCGGCGCCCUUUCACGGGAUCAUCCCCGGGAAGCGCGUCCAGCCCCUUGGACAACUCGAUCUGCCUGUCUGCUUCGGGACUCCCUCCAACUUCCGAAAGGAAACCCUCACGUUCGAGGUGGUCGAGUUCCGAGGAACCUACCACGCGGUGCUGGGGAGACCGUGCUACGCCAAGUUCAUGGCCGUCCCCAACUACACCUACCUCAAGCUCAAGAUGCCCAGUCCCAACGGGGUCAUCACCGUCGGAUCCACGUACCGACACGCGUACGAAUGUGACGUGGAGUGCGUGGAGUACGCUGAGGCCCUCGCCGAGUCCGAGGCCCUCAUCGCCGACCUGGAGUGCCUUUCCAAGGAGGUGCCAGAUGUGAAGCGCCACGCCGGCAACUUUGAGCCAGCAGAGGCGGUUAAGUUCGUCCCUCUCGACCCCAGCAACGAUGCCUACAAGCAAGUACGGAUCGGCUUCGAGCUCGACCCCAAAUAGGAAGCAGUGCUCGUCGACUUUCUCCGCGCGAACGCCGAGGUUUUUGCGUGGAGUCCCUCGGAUAUGCCUGGCAUACCGAGGGAUGUCGCCGAGCACUCGCUGGAUAUCCGAGCUGGAGCUCGACCCGUGAAGCAGCCUCUGCGCCGUUUCGAUGAAGAAAAGCGCAGAGCCAUAGGCGAGGAGAUCCACAAGCUGAUGGCUGCAGGCAGUGGCGGAACUUUGCUCACGACAGGACUAGGGCCAUUCGAAAAAAAUUUAGCACAGACUAAUUGACAGACAAGAAUAAGUACCUAAUCGAUGAAGAAUUAUUGUAUUUGUUCCACUUAGCUUCUUUAUUCUGCAUCAACAAUCGAAUCAGACUGCAGACCUACAUAAAAAAUGAACACAAGUUAUAUAUAUAACAAUUUUAAGACCGUGUCAAACUUCAAUUAUUUAAUAAACUGAACAUACCAUUAACACUAGUAGCCUGAUGUUGUUUAGGCAACAUUUUCAUGCGGGACUUCAUUUCUUGAAAAUGGUAUAAAAUCUUAUCAUUUGGAAUACUUGAAAAAAUGUCUCGUUCAAUAUAUCAUACCAUCCUAUGAUUGAGCCAGUCACUCCCCGUCUUAUUCCUCAAAUCAGUCUUUACAAUUUUCAUCGCUGAGAAAGCUCUUUCAACUGUGGCAGUAGUAACCGGCAAAAUCAAAGCCAGCUCAACAAGACGAUAGACCAAAGGAAAUGUUGUAUGUCUAUCAGGCUGCACCAUCUUUAUAGCAAGAUCUCCAAGGUCAUUGCAACAUGUAAAACUUGCAUCCGCCCUUGCAUCAUUAACAAACAUCUCAAGUUGGUUGCGAAGGACAAUGCAAUCAUAUUGGGUGAAGUCAACAACAUAAAUUUGAGCAAGUUCUAUUAAUUUAUCUUCAUCAAAGUUUGCAAAAGAAUUCCGUGGGUCUAAACAAGCAAUGCAUCUCAAUAGUUGAGUGGACCUUUCAACAAAACGAUUAUUUAAUUCCACAAUUAUUUGGUCAUGGAAAACAUUAAAUAUUUCAUUUUUGAAGUGAUGAAAAUAUGUUACCAACUAUCCACCACGACCUCUUGAGCGACCUCGAACAGUUAAUGUAUCAUCCAUCUUUGGCACAAUGAUGUGAUGUAGAAGACAAAAGUUUUCUACCUCUACAAAUAACUCGUCCCAACCAUUCUCCCGUAUGUCAUUCAUUUUCUGCAGUGUUGUCCCAAUCAACCCUAUAGCACGAACAAUAUUUUGAUCCUUCUUUUGCAAACACUGUGACAAAUCAUUAGUUUUGCCCAAUAGUCUGAUCAUAAGAUGCAGUACAAGAACAAACUCAAAACUCUCCAUUUGUUUUAACAAUCCAGCUGCUGUGUAUUUCUUUUCCCCACUAGAGGCAUCAUCGGAUACAAUCUCUAACACCUCUAGAAUUGCAUCCCACAUGUGAAGAAUACGACAUAAGGUCUUAUGAUGUGAACCCCAUCGAGUAUCCCCGGGUCGCACAAGGUUGGAUUCUCAUCUAAUAUUCUUCUUUGCAGUCCAUGAAAUUCUCCCCUCAUAUUUGAUGCCCCAUCAUACCCUUGUCCAUGCAAUCUGGAUAUUGACAACCCAUGAAAAGCAAGCAUAGAAUCCAAAGCUUGCUUUAGAGAAUACGAUGUCGUGUCAGCAACCUCUUCAAUACCAAGAAAUCUUUCAAUAACUUGACCUCGUGCAUUAACAUACCUCAAUAUAACAGCCAUUUGUUCCUUUAUAGAUGCAUCUCGGGCCUCAUCAACAAGAACUGAAAAGUUUCUACCUCCAAUAUCUUCAAUAAUAGCUUUGCUGGUUAAAUCAGCACAAGCUUUGCACAAGUCUUUUUGAAUUGACGGUGAAGUCAUUUAAUUAGUACGGAGCAAAUGUGCAACAUUUUUAUCCUUGCUCUUAUACCAUUCUAUCAUCUCUAAAAAAAUUCCCUUGUUGCUCGAGGAAGAGGACUCAUCAUGUCCGCGAAAUGCAAGAGCCUGAAGCAAAAGAAAUCUGAUAACUUCAAGUAUAACAAUCAUACGACUUUUAUAUUCAUUGUCCACCUUAUUGACACCAGAUGUCAUAGCAUAUGGCACACUUUGCCUCUGAUUUUUGUAAUCUUCAUAAUGUCUUCUAGCAUUAUUAUGAGCAACACCUUUAUCGUGUCCCUCAAUUAAUUUGCGACCAUCCUUCCAUCCACGGAACCCAACAUUUGUGAAGGAAUCAACACCAUAAUUUUCAGCUCUUGGUUGCUUAAAGAGGUAGCAAUAAAAACAAAAGGCUGCAUCCUUGGCAAUACUGUACUCCAACCAUGCAUGAUUAUUAAACCAAUCUGUCUGAAAUCGUCGAUUGCGCCCACAUAUUAUUCUUUGUGGAUAACUAUGACCUUUUGGUUGACAUGGACCCAUCAAAAUAUGCUCUCUUUUUAUAGCAUCCCUAAUAUUUGGAUCCAAAUCCUCAAUUGGAACUCAAAGGCCAGAAUCAGCUAUAACUCCAUUCUGAUUAGGUACAACACUAGGAAUAGUUUGCUGCACAUUACUAGGUUGAGCUUCAGUUUCUACCGUCUCUACUACCGGUUCCAAAUUUAUUCCAUGAGGAGGUUGACUGGAUUGUAUUAUAGGAGUGAUCGGUUGAGUAAAAUAUGAUGCUAUUGUUCUACUUCUCUUCAUUUUCUACAACUACAAUAAAUAAAUAAAAUGAGUGUAGAAUUGAGAGACAAUAAAAUAAACUAACUUUACUUAAUCUGUUGAACCUGACCUGAAGGGUGUGCUGCGUGUGCAGUGCAGCAAUAGCCAGACGCAGGAAGCAGGAAGCAGACGCCAGACGCAGCAGGCUGGCAGCUUCGUCGUUUGCUUUACGGCGGCGUCGCCGGCGGACGGAAACUAAUCGCGAUCAACUGGCAUGGGGAAGGGCAAACGACGGUACGGACGCACGCUAUAGAAUAAUGGGCCGAAAUAAUUAAGAAGGGUAUUAAUAUAUUUUUCCUCACGAGUAGGGCCAUGGCCCCAGCGGCCCAUAACAGAGAUCCGCCUCUGGCUGCAGGGUUCAUCAAAGAGGUAUUCCAUCCGGAAUGGUUAGCCAACCCUGUGCUUGUGAAAAAGAAAGGUGGGAAAUGGAGGAUGUGUGUAGACUACACUGGUCUAAACAAAGCAUGUCCAAAAAUUCCCUACCCUCUGCCUCGCAUCGAUCAAAUUGUGGAUUCCACUGCUGGGUGCGAAACCCUGUCAUUCCUCGAUGCCUACUCAGGGUAUCACCAAAUCAAGAUGAAAGAGUCCGACCAGCUCACAACUUCUUUCAUCACACCUUUUGGCAUGUACUGCUAUAUUACUAUGCCAUUUGGUUUGAGGAAUGCAGGUGCGACAUACCAAAGGUGCAUGAACCACGUGUUCGGAGAGCACAUCGGCCGAACAGUCGAGGCUUACGUCGAUGACAUCGUAGUCAAGACGAGGAAAGCCUCUGACCUCCUCUCCGACCUUGAAACGACAUUCAAGUGUCUGAGAGUGAAGGGCGUGAAACUCAAUCCCGAGAAGUGUGUCUUCGGAGUCUCCCGAGGCAUGCUCCUGGGGUUCAUCAUCUCCGAGCAGGGCAUCGAGGCCAACACGGAGAAAAUCACGGCCAUCACCAACAUGGGGCCUAUCAAAGACUUGAAAGGAGUACAAAGGGUCAUGGGAUGCCUUGCGGCUUUGAGCCGCUUCAUCUCGCGCCUCGGCGAAAAAGGCCUACCCUUGUACCGCCUCUUAAGGAAGACCGAGCGCUUCACUUGGACCCCCGAGGCCGAGGAAGCCCUCGGAAACUUAAAGGCGCUCCUUUCAAACGCGCCCGUCUUGGUGCCCCCGCUGCAGGAGAAGCCCUCUUAAUCUACGUAGCCGCAACCACUCAGGUGGUGAGCGCCGCGAUCGUAGUCGAGAGACGAGAAGAGGGGCAUGCACUGCUCGUCCAGAGGCCGGUCUACUUCAUCAGUGAAGUGCUGUCCGAGACUAAGAUCCGCUACCCGCAAAUUCAGAAGCUACUGUACGCGGUAAUUCUGACGCGCGAAAGUUGCGACACUACUUCGAGUCUCAUCCGGUGACUGUGGUGUCAUCCUUCCCCCUGGGGAGAUCAUCCAGUGCCGAGAGGCCUCAGGUAGGAUAGCAAAGUGGGCGGUGGAGAUCAUGGGCAAGACAAUCUCGUUCGCUCCUCGGAAGGCCAUCAAGUCCCAAGUCUUGGCAGACUUCGUGGCUGAAUGGGUCGACACCCAGCUACCAACAGCUCCGAUCCAACCGGAACUCUAGACCAUAUACUUCGAUGGGUCGCUGAUGAAAACAGGAGCAGGUGCGGGCCUGCUCUUCAUCUCACCCCUCGGGAAGCACCUCCGCUACGUGCUGUGCCUCCAUUUCCCGGCGUCAAACAACGUGGCCGAGUACGAGGCUCUGGUUAACGGGUUGCGCAUCGCCAUCGAGCUAGGGGUUCGGCGCCUCGACGCUCGUGGCGACUCGCAACUUGUCAUUGACCAAGUCAUGAAGAACUCCCACUGCCGCGACCGGAAGAUGGAGGCCUACUGUGACGAGGUUCGGCGCCUGGAAGACAAGUUCUACGGACUCGAGCUCAACCACGUCGCCUGACGGUACAACAAGACUGCGGAUGAGCUGGCUAAAAUAGCCUCGGGGCGGACAACGGUUCCCCCGGACGUCUUCUCCAGAGACAUACAUCAACCCUCCGUCAAGACCGACGACACGCCCGAGCCCGAGGAGGCCUCGGCCCAGCCCGAGGCACCCUCAGCCGCCGAGGGUGAGGCACUGCGUGUCGAGGGAGAGCGGAAUGGGGUCACGCCUAAUCGAAACUGGCAGACCCCGUACCUGCAAUAUCUCCACCGAGGAGAGCUACCCCUCGACAAAGCCGAAGCUCGGCGACUGGCGCGGCGCGCCAAGUCGUUCGUCUUACUGGGUGAUGAAAAGGAAGUCUACCACCGCAGCCCCUCAGGCAUUCUCCAACGAUGCAUAUCCAUCACCGAAGGGCAGGAGCUAUUGCAAGAGAUACACUCGGGGGCUUGCGGUCACCAUGCAGCACCUCGAGCCCUCGUCGGGAACGCCUUCCGACAAGGUUUCUACUGGCCGACCGCGGUGGCCGAUGCCACUAGGAUUGUACGCUCCUGCCAAGGGUGUCAAUUCUACGCAAGACAGACGCACCUGCCCGCUCAGGCCCUGCAGACAAUACCCAUCACCUGGCCAUUUGCUGUAUGGGGUCUGGACCUCGUCGGUCCCUUGCAGAAGGCACCCGGGGGCUUCUCGCACCUGCUGGUCGCCAUCGACAAAUUCUCCAAGUGGGUCGAGGUCCGACCCCUAACGAGCAUCAGGUCCGAGCAGGCGGUGGUGUUCUUCACCAACAUCAUCCAUCGCUUUGGGGUCUUGAACUCCAUCAUCACUGACAACGGCACCCAGUUCACUGGGAAGAAGUUCCUGGACUUCUACGAGGACCACCACAUCCGUGUGGACUGGGAUGCCGUGGCUCACCCCAUGAUGAAUGGGCAGGUGGAGCGUGCCAACGGUAUGCUUCUGCAGGGACUUAAACCGAGGAUCUACAACGACCUCAACAAGUUUGGCAAGCGGUGGAUGAAGAAAUUACCCUCGGUGGUAUGGAGUCUAAGGACGACGCCAAGCCGGGCCACGAGUUUCUCGCCCUUCUUUCUAGUAUAUGGGGCCGAGGCUAUCUUGCCCACAGACUUAGAAUACGGUUCCCCGAGGACAAGGGCGUACGACGACCAAAGCAACCAGACCAGCCGAGAAGACUCGCUGGACCAGCUGGAAGAGGCUCAGGACAUGGCCUUACUACACUCGGCGCGGUAUCAGCAGUCUCUGCGACGCUACCACGCCCGAGGGGUUCGGCCUCGAGACUUCCAGGUGGGAGACUUGGUACUUCGACUGCGGCAGGACGCCCGAGGGCGCCACAAGCUUACUCCCCCCUAGGAAGGGCCGUUCAUCAUCGCUAAGAUCUUGAAGCCCGGAACAUACAAGCUGGCCAACGAUCAAGGCGAGGUCUACAGCAACGCUUGGAACAUCCGACAGCUACGUCACUUUUACCCUUAAGAUGUUUUCAAGUCCUUCAUAUACCUCGUUUUCUAUACAUACACAAAUAAAGUCUAACCAUCAAGGAAGGGUCAGCCUUGCCUCGGCAACGCCCGACCCUCCCUUAGGGUCUAGAAGGGGGGGACCCCCUCUGCGUCAAAAUUUUCCUCGGAAAAAGUCUUUCUGCCAGAACAUCUUUCGCGCUUUUCGACUGCUUCGAUAGCGGGAUCCUGAAAACGACGGAGUACACGUAAGCGGCAAGGCCGACCGAGCCGAGGGCCUCCUACACCUCCGGGAUACGGAUACCUCACUCAUCACCUUCUGCGAUAAGUAACUCACGCUCGGAUAAGCGAUUCUGCUGCCGAACAAGUCUUAACGCUCGAAAUUUUUUCUGCCAGAACGAUUUUCGUGCCUUCUCGACUAUAUCGAUAACAGAAUCCUACGAACGAGUAAGAGUGCACAUAAGCGGCGAGGCCGACCGAGCCGAGGGACUCCUACGCCUCCGGGAUACGGAUACCUCACUCAUCACCUUCCGUGAAAAGUAACUCUCGCUCGGAUAAACGAUUCUGCUACCGAUGAACAAGUCCUGAUACUCAAACAAGAGGAAAGGAAAUGCAGCUUUACAACACGACAAUAAUAUGUUUGGGCCUCGGCGGCCACAAAAAACAUACGCACACUACAGACAAACUCUCCCUGCAGGUUCAGACAUCAACAGAGGGAGCAGCAGCACCCUCGGCAUCGUCUCCACCUUCGGCGGAAUCUGGCCCGGCCUCGGAUGGCGACACGGGCGGAAGGAUCUCCACCUCGAAGGAGGACGCCAGCACCAAGCUCGGGCCAUCAUAGCCAAGGUCUCCACAAGGGUCCCGGCCCGGGCAAACACCUCGACCGGUCGCUCCGUAGCCUCAGCCAGCUGUCCCCCGAGGACAUCAGCCUGGCUCACGGCCUCGGCAGCGUGACUCCGGGGUUGGUCCCGCUAGCGGACGACCUGGCCAAGCUCCAGCCGCCGCCGCUGCACCUCCUCGGCCAAGGAGGCCACGUGCUCCCGGGCCGACGAAGCUUCUUCUCGAGCCGACUCCACCUUUGUCCACGCUGACACUGCUGCCUCCGGCUCUGGCUCAUCGCAGAGCAGCCGAGGGUUCUAUAACUGAGCAAGACAAGCCUUGGGUGGCAAGGCUGACCGAGCCGAGGGACUCCUAUGCCUCCGGGAUACAGAUAACUCACUCGUCACCUUCCGCACAGGGCAACUCACACUCGGUUAAGCGGUUCAGCUAGCCGACAGGCGAGUCCUAGUGCUCGAAAUGAGGAAGAAACACGGUAUUACACUCAAAUACCUAGAUGUUCAGGCCUUGACAGCCACAAUGAACAAACACCGGCACUCAAGGUGCCAUUACAAACGGAACUCCGGUUCCACUCCCGCGGGUAUGAACAACCUCCACAUCGGAGGGCCUGCGGGACGACAAACUCCAGGUGGCUCGCCGCCGCCGACUCAGGCGGCUAAACAGCAGCAGCGAUGACCUUAGGGCAAAUGCUGUUGCAGAAAGGCCCUCACUCACAUCCCCACACGAGGGGCGAGGACAAGCCAUCAAAGCCAAAGAGCCGAAGGUCUAUCCGCGGGUGGCGCCGACGGUCUCGUCGGCGGAGAAACCUCCUCUGGCGGCCACCACCUCCAGCACCGACGACGGCGGCCACCUGCGCGCCGGCGCUACGCCAACGAAAUGGCGGCCGCCCCAGCCUGCACCGGCAGAUCCCCACUCAAGUCCUCGCGGACGGGCAGGCACCGACCUCUGCACGGAGGCGUCAUGCCGGAGCGAGGACAAGACAAUCCAAGAACACGAACGUCGCCCUAGCGGCGUGUGACGUCUUGGACGGUCCCCCGGUGUGCACAGUGCAACAACCGCCCGUACGGUGGGCGGACAACCACGCUCUGCCCCAGCGGUGGGAGGUGGCACCAGAAGUAGCGCCAGAUCCAGCUGAGCCAGCGAGCCAGGCAUGCUGGAGCUGACGACGCUUGCGGCCGGCCGGCCCCGCGUUGUCGAAGUCCGCCCCCUCCGCUAGGCCGGUGAGCGCCCUCUCCCCUGAAUGCUGAAGGAAGAGGUGGCUCGCCGGCCCAUGCGGGAAGUAGAACUCCGGCUCAGCUCGCCCCCCGCCAUAGCAAGGAUGAUGAAGAUCCUUGAAGCUGAGGGCGGGGCAAAGGCCGCAGCCCGGCUUGCUUCUCCCCACCAUCGAACUGGUGGUCACCAUCCUGGGUGACCAUUGGUGAGGGAAUGCAGCCGGGCUGCCUGAUAAAAAUCCUUGAAGCCGAGCGAUGGCUGAAGGGUGCCCACCUCCGUGAGGUUGCGCUCCUCCAACAACAAGACGAAGGCAACGCGAGCGCUUCCCAUCUGGGGGCUCGGAAGGUGGAAGGACGCGAUGCAUGAGGGGAGUGCGAAGGCAUGGCUACCACCCGGGGGGUCGAUCCCUUUUUAAAGGUGGCUCUCCCCACUCGCGUCCUCAAGCGUCGCGAACUAAGUCUUCACCGACGUGCUCCAGGGUCCUCCCCCUAUGACACGGGGGCUGGGUCCCACACGUCAUGCAAGUUGGCCCGGAACAGAAGAAGCCAAACUGCCGCGCGCGGAGCGUGUAACCGCCCCGCGGUUACAAGCACUCCUCUAUCCUCGCCGAAAUCAGCAGUUGAAAGGGCGGACCGCCAUGCAGGUGGCAUGCAACCGCACCGCGGAGGCGCACCCCUUCGACUUCGACGCAUCCAGCAUGGAGGCCCAGGCCCACACAUCAUGUAACUGGCGCGCCGGUCACUACGUGCGAGAAACUGCACCGCCACUUGCGCCAAUGUCGCGCCUUCUCGACUGCGGAACCAGUGCCGCGACUCGAGGCAACCCUGCGCAUGGCCCAACAGUGCCAAUCGAGCACAUCGGUCAUGGGUCAGUCAGCCGCGGGAGGAGGCGCGACGGUCGAUAUGGCCAAAAGUGGGCCGACAGUAAUGGCGGCAGCAGGCGAGCGGAAGCAGCAGUCAAAUCGCCUGCAGGCUCACGUCCCGUCCUGGAGCAGCAGGGGAGCCCUCUCCCAUGGCGUGAAGACGACGCGCCUGUGUUCCAUCCCUCGAACGGCUCACGCAACGACCGCCCCGCGAACCACCCGUCCCGUCGCAUUAACUCCACGGAAGGGCAAUCGACACCUUUGGCAGGCGAAGCGGGCGUCGUUUCAUCUCCGCCAUGAUGACCGCGUCAAAAAAGGUGCGCCACACCGUUUAAAUUCAUAUCCUUUUCCUCUUCCCCUUUCUCUCUCUUGCUACAGGGACCGGGAAAGGGGAUAUUUCGAAAGGGAUCCUUCUCCGCGAAGGAAGCGGGCCCCGAGCCCUCCUACUGAUCAGGGGUUCGAAGGCUGGCCCCUCGGAAGGGUUCGACAGCCGCCUCAGAGCACUCGGGCUUCAGGCUCAUUACUGAUCAGGGGUUCGAAGGCUGGCCCCUCGGAAGGGUUCGACAGCCGCCUCAGAGCACUCGGGCUCCGCGCCCACUACUGAUCAGGGGUUCGAAGGCUAGCCCCUCGGAAGGGUUCGACAGCCGCCCUAGAGCACGCAGAGCGAGGGAUGACUCUGGGUACGUCCGAUACAUGGCUGAGGCUCGGGCUACGCUCCCGAGGUACCCUAGGACAUUUCUGAGACCAACAGGAGCGAUUUUGUAACGGAAUCCCAUUAGAGGGAGGCAUCGAUCCCUCGGACCCAAUCGAAUGGGACCGGGUCCGGCAAAUCACCUGCAGGUACUUUUGGAGCGAGCCUCUGGGCCACUAGCCGACCCUUAUCGAACGGGGCACAGGCGUCCACUCGGAUCACCCGUCAGCAACUCACUGGAGACACCAUGUUCGGCGCCCUCCGAGGGCAACAUGGCGCUUCCCCCCCUUCCUCCUUGUAGAAAGGCGACAAAGGGGCGUAUGAUAAAAGUCGAGUCAGUCCUCGAUCGUCCUCUCUCUCCAUGCAGAGGCUCGGGGGCUGCUCUCGCAAACCCGGCUACGGCCAAAUCGUUGACAGCGUCAACAAACCAGCCUGAAAAUUCGGAACCUAACCAUGCACCCGGGCUAUGAUCAGAUCGCAUGAGGGAACAACCAGACCGGCCGAGGCAUCACGAAAGGCAUUAAGACCUCAGAGGAGUGAAAGGGAAAUAGGCUUACACCUUUUCCUAAUUGAUUUUGGUGGUUGAAUUGACCAACACAAAUAAUUGGACUAACUGGUUUGCUCUAGAUUAUAUGUUCUAUAGGUGCCAAAGGUUCAUCUACAACUAUACUAAAUCGACUGUCCGGAAUACCGUAGAUUAUUCCGGACAGGAAAAGCUUUUUGGAAAAUCAGGCCAAGCGCGGACCGUCCGGGCCUUUGCGGCGGACCGUCCGCGACACCUAAAUAACCCUCGGACAGAACCAAUGCAAAAACAUGUGUCUCUAUUGCGGACCGUCCGAUGGAAGAGCAAGCACCAUCCGAGACCUCGCGCGGACCGUCCGGGCUCAGGCGCGGACCGUCCGGGCUCAGGCGCGGACCGUCCGGUAGGUGAGGAACCAAAAAACCCGAAGGUAACGGGUUCGACCAAAUGAAUUAUAGCGUCCUCGCGGACCGUCCGGGGUGCACGACCGGACCGUCCGCGACUGGCUUUAUCUGACAUCUGACGACGCAUUAAAUGCAAUAUAGCCGUUGAUAUAGCCGUUACUGCUGACCGUUGCGUUUUCAGCCGUUGAUCUACAGGGGCGGACCGUCCGGACCAGGCGGGCGGACCGUCCGCGGUCGGCAGAAAGGAGCAACGGCUAGGAAGUGGUUGGUGGCUAUAAAUACAACCCCAACCACCUCCAUUCAUAACACCCAAGCAUUCCAACCUUCAACAUUCAAUACAAGAGCUAGCAUUCCAUUCCAAGACACAAUCAAAGCCUCCAAUCUCUCCAAGUUCCACAAUUGAGACAUGUGAUCAUUAGUGAUUAGUGACUUGAGAGAGAGAGAGUGAUCCGUGUGUUAUUUGUCGCUCUUGUCGCUUGGCUUUUGCAAUCGUGCUUUCUUCCUUCCCAUUCUUAUUCUCAAGGCACUUGUAAUCAAAGCAAGAGACACUAAGUUUGUAGUGGUCCUUGUGGGGUCUAAGUGACCCGUUUGAUUAAGGAGAAAGCUCACUCGGUCUAAGUGACCGUUUGAGAGAGGGAAAGGGUUGAAAGAGACCCGGUCUUUGUGACCACCUCAACGGGGAUUAGAUUUGCAAGAACUGAACCUCGGUAAAACAAAUCAUCGUGUCUCACUCUUUAUUUGCUCACAAUUUGUUUUUAGCCCUCUCUCAUGGACUCGUUUAUAUUUCUAACGCUAACCCGGCUUGUAGUUGUGCUUAAGUUUAUAAAUUUCAGAUUUGCCCUAUUCACCCCCCUCUAGGCGACUUUCAAUUGGUAUCGGAGCCCGGUGCUUCAUUAGAGCUUAACCGCUCGAAGUGAUGUCGGGAGAUCACGCCAAGAAGGAGAUGAUGACCGGCGAGAAGCCCGCUACAAGCCAUGGGAAGGCUCCAUCCGGGGAGUCCGCCAACAAAGUGAAGGGAUCCCCUUCACACAACAAGUCGGGUCGGAGCGGUGACAAGAAGAAGAAGAUGAGGAAGGUGGUCUACUACGAGACCGACUCUUCGUCGCCAUCCACCUCCGGCUCCGACACGCCGUCCGUAACUUCUAAGCGCCAUGAGCGUAAGAAGUUUAGUAAGAUUCCCCUACGCUACCCUCGCAUUUCCAAACGUACUCCUUUACUUUCCGUCCCAUUAGGCAAACCACCUAUGUUUGAUGGUGAAGAUUAUAAUAUGUGGAGUGAUAGAAUGAGGCAUCAUCUAACCUCACUCCACACUAGCAUUUGGGAUGUUGUUGAGAUUGGAGUACAGGUACCAUCACCAGGGGAUGAAGAUUAUGAUUCGGACGAGGUUGCCCAAAUCCGGCACUUUAACUCUCAAGCCACCACUAUACUCCUCGCCUCUCUAAGUCGAGAGGAGUAUAACAAGGUGCAAGGGUUAAAGAGCGCCAAGGAGAUUUGGGACGUACUCAAGACCGCGCACGAAGGAGAUGAGGUGACCAAGAUCACCAAGCGGGAGACGAUCGAGGGGGAGCUUGGUCGGUUCCGACUCAACCAAGGCGAGGACCCUCAAGCCAUGUACAACCGCUUGAAGACCUUGGUGAACCAAGUGCGCAACCUCGGGAGCACCAAAUGGGAUGACCAUGAAAUGGUCAAGGUUAUUCUAAGAUCCCUCGUUUUUCUUAAUCAUACGCAAGUUCAAUUAAUACGAGGUAAUCCUAGAUAUACACUAAUGUCUCCCGAGGAAGUAAUAGGGAAUUUUGUGAGCUUUGAGUUAAUGAUCAAAGGCUCAAAGAAAAUCAUCGAGCUAGAUGGUCCCUCCACGUCCGAAGCACAACCGGUCGCAUUUAAGGCGACGGAGGAGAAGAAGGAGGAGCCUACAUCAAGUAGACAACCCAUCGACGCCUCUAAGCUCGAUAAUGAGGAGAUGGCGCUCAUCAUCAAGAGCUUCCGCCAAAUCCUCAAGCAAAGAAAGGGGAAAGAUUACAAGCCCUGUUCCAAGAAGGUGUGCUACAAAUGUGGUAAGCCCGGUCAUUUCAUUGCUAAAUGUCCGUUAUCUAGUGAUAGUGACAGGGGCGACGAAAAGAAGGGCAAGAGGAGGGAAAAGAAGAGGUACCACAAGAAGAGGGGCGGCGAUGCCCAUGUGUGCCGCGAGUGGGACUCCGAGGAGAGCUCCUCCAACUCCUCCUCCGACGAGGACGCCGCCAACAUCGCCGUCACCAAGGGACUCCUCUUCCCCAACGUCGGCCACAAGUGCCUCAUGGCAAAGGACGGCAAAAGGAAGAAGGUAAAAUCAAAAUCCUCCACUAAAUAUGAAACCUCUAGUGAUGAGAAUAAUGCUAGUGAUAAGGAGGAUAAUUUGCGUAUUCUUUUUGCCAACCUUAACAUGCAACAAAAAGAAAAAUUGAAUGAAUUAAUUAGUGCCAUUCAUGAGAAGGAUGAACUCUUGGACUCCCAAGAGGACUUCCUAAUUAAGGAAAAUAAGAAGCAUGUUAAGGUUAAGAAUGCUUAUGCUCUAGAAGUAGAAAAAUGUGAAAAACUAUCUAGUGAGCUAAGCACUUGCCAUGACAUUAUUUCCAACCUUAGAAAUGACAAUGCUAGUUUAAUUGCUAAGGUUGAUUCAAAUGUUUGUGAUAUUUCAAUUCCCAAUCUUAGAGACGAUAAUGUUAAUCUACUUGCUAAGAUUGAAGAAUUGAAUGUUUCUCUUGCUAGCCUUAGAAAUGACAAUGAAAAAUUAAUUACUAAGGCUAAAGAAUUAGAUGUUUGCAAUGUUACAAUUUCCAAUCUUAGAAGUGAAAAUGAUAUUUUGCAUGCUAAGAUUGUUGAACUAAAAUCUUGCAAACCCUCUACAUACCGUUGAACAUGUUUCCAUUUGUACUAGAUGUAGAGACAUUAAUAUUGAUGCUAUUCAUGAUCACCUAGCUUUAAUUAAGAAAUAAAAUGAUCACAUAGCUCAACUUAAUGCAAAAAUUAAUGAGCAUGACUUGGAAAAUGAAAAAUUUAAAUUUGCUAGAAGCAUGUUCUAUAGUGGGAGACGCUAUGGCAUCAAGGAUGGCAUUGGCUUCCAAAAGGGGGACAAUGUCAAACUUAGUGCCCCUCCUAAAAGAUUGUCUAACUUUGUAAAGGGCAAGGCUCCCAUGCCUCAGGAUAACGAGGGUUACAUUUUGUAACCUGCCGGUUAUACCGAGAGCAAAAUUAGGAGAAUUCACUCUAGGAAGUCUCACUCUGGCCCUAAUCAUGCUUUUAUGUAUAAGGGUGAGACUUCCAGCUCUAGGCAAUCAACCCGUGCUAAAUUGCCUAAGAAGAAAACUCCUAUUGCAUCAAAUGAUUCUAAAAUUUCAUUUAAAACGUUUGAUGCAUCUUAUGUUUUAACUAACAAAUCCGGCAAGGUAGUUGCCAAAUAUGUUGGGGGCAAGCACAAGGGGUCAAAGACUUGUGUUUGGGUACCCAAUGUUCUUGUAUCUAAUGUCAAAGGACCCAAAACCAUUUGGGUACCUAAAAUCAAGAACUAAACUUGUUUUGUAGGUCUAUGCAUCCGGGGGCUCAAGUUGGAUCAUCGAUAGCGGGUGCACAAACCAUAUGACAGGGGAGAAAAGAUGUUCUCCUCCUAUGAGAAAAACCAAGAUCCCCAAUGAGCUAUCACAGUCGGAGAUGGAAAUCAAGGUUUGGUCAAAGGAUUGGGUAAAAUAGCUAUAUCACCUGACCAUUCCAUUUCAAAUGUUUUCCUCGUAGAUUCUUUAGAUUACAACUUGCUUUCAGUUUCGCAAUUAUGCAAAAUGGGUUACAACUGUCUUUUUACGGAUGUAGGUGUCACUAUCUUUAGAAGAAGUGACGAUUCAAUAGCAUUUAAGGGAGUGUUAGAGGGUCAGCUAUACUUAGUAGAUUUUGAUAGAGCUGAACUCGACACUUGCUUAAUUGCUAAGACAAACAUGGGCUGGCUCUGGCAUCGCCGACUAGCACAUGUUGGGAUGAAGAAUCUUCACAAGCUUCUAAAGGGAGAACACAUUUUGGGACUAACAAAUGUUCAUUUUGAGAAAGACAGGAUUUGUAGCGCAUGUCAGGCAGGGAAGCAAGUUGGUGUUCAUCAUCCACAUAAGAACAUCAUGACGACCGACAGACCACUCGAGCUCCUACACAUGGACCUAUUCGGACAGAUUGCUUACAUAAGCAUCGGCGGGAGUAAGUACUGUCUAGUUAUUGUGGAUGAUUAUUCUCGCUUCACUUGGGUGUUCUUUUUGCAGGAAAAAUCUCAUACCCAAGAGACCUUAAAGGGAUUCUUGAGACGGGCUCAAAACGAGUUCGGCUUAAGGAUCAAGAAAAUAAGAAGCGACAACGGAACAGAGUUCAAGAACUCUCAAAUCGAAGGCUUCCUUGAGGAGGAGGGCAUCAAGCAUGAGUUCUCUCCCCCCUACACGCCACAACAAAAUGGUGUAGUGGAGAGGAAGAAUAGAACUCUAUUGGACAUGGCAAGAACCAUGCUUGAUGAGUACAAGACUUCGGAUCGGUUUUGGGCCGAGGCGGUCAACACCGCAUGCUACGCCAUCAACCGGUUGUAUCUACACCGAAUCCUCAAGAAGACAUCUUAUGAACUCCUAACCGGUAAAAAGCCCAAUGUUUCAUAUUUUAGAGUCUUUGGUAGCAAAUGUUUUAUUCUUGUUAAAAGAGGUAGAAAAUCUAAAUUUGCUCCUAAGACUGUAUAAGGCUUUUUACUAGGAUAUGAUUUAAACACAAGGGCAUAUAGAGUCUUUAACAAGUCCUCAGGACAAGUUGAAGUUUCUUGUGACAUUGCGUUUGAUGAGACUAACGGCUCCCAAGCAGAGCAAGUUGAUCUUAAUGAGCUAGGUGAUGAAGAGGCUCCGUGCGUCGAGCUAAGGAACAUGUCCAUUGGGGAUGUGUGUCCUAAGGAAUCCGAAGAGCCUUCACAAGCACAAGAUCAACCAUCCUUCUCCACACAAGCAUCUCCACCCACUCUAAAUGGGGAUGAGGCUCAAGAUGAUGAAGGAGAAGAUCAAGGAGAUGAGCCACCUCAAGAUGACGGCAAUGAUCAAGGGAGAGAUGCAAAUGAUCAAGACAAGGAGGAUGAAGAACCAAAAAGACUGCCACACCCAAGAGUCCACCAAGCAAUCCAAGGAGAUCACCCUGUCGACACCAUCCUCGGCGACAUUCAUAAGGGGGUAACCACUAGAUCUCGUGUUGCACAUUUUUGUGAACAUUACUCUUUUGUUUCCUAUAUUGAGCCACAUAGGGUAGAGGAAGCACUGCAAGAUUCGGAUUGGGUGAUGGCGAUGCAAGAGGAGCUCAACAAUUUCACUAGGAACGAGGUAUGGCAUUUAGUUCCACGUCCUAAUCAAAAUGUUGUAGGAACCAAGUGGGUCUUCCGCAACAAGCAAGAUGAGCAUGGUGUGGUGACAAGGAACAAAGCCCGACUUGUAGCCAAGGGGUAUUCACAAGUCGAACGUUUGGAUUUCGGUGAAACCUAUGCACCCGUAGCUAGGCUUGAGUCAAUUCGCAUAUUACUUGCCUAUGCUACUUAUCAUGGCUUUAAGCUUUACCAAAUGGAUGUGAAAAGUGCCUUCCUCAAUGGACCAAUCAAGGAAGAGGUCUAUGUUGAGCAACCUCCCGGCUUUGAAGAUAGUGAGUACCCUAACCAUGUAUAUUAACUCUCUAAGGCGCUCUAUGGGCUCAAGCAAGCCCUAAGAGCAUGGUAUGAAUGCCUAAGAGAUUUCCUUAUCACUAAUGGCUUCAAAGUUGGAAAGGCCGAUCCUACUUUAUUUACUAAAACUCUUGACAAUGAUUUGUUUGUAUGCCAAAUUUAUGUUGAUGAUAUUAUAUUUGGGUCUACUAACGAAUCUACAUGUGAGGAAUUUAGUAGGAUCAUGAUAAAGAAAUUCGAGAUGUCUAUGAUGGGGGAGUUGAAGUACUUCUUGGGAUUUCAAGUGAAGCAACUCCAGGAAGGCACCUUUAUUAGCCAAACAAAGUACAUUCAAGACAUUCUAAACAAGUUUGGAAUGAAGGAUGCCAAGCCCAUCAAGACACCCAUGGGAACCAAUGGGCAUCUCGACCUCGACACGGGAGGUAAAUCCGUAGAUCAAAAGGUAUAACGGUCGAUGAUAGGUUCUUUACUCUAUUUAUGUGCAUCUCGACCGGACAUUAUGCUUUCCGCAUGCAUGUGUGCAAGAUUCCAAGCCGACCCUAAGGAAGCUCACCUUACGGCCGUAAAACGAAUCUUGAGAUAUUUAGUUCAUACUCCUAAGUUUGGGCUUUGGUACACUCGGGGAUCCAUAUUUGAUUUAAUUGGUUAUUCGGAUGCCGAUUGGGCGGGGUGUAAAAUUAAUAGAAAGAGCACAUCGGGGACUUGCCAGUUCUUGGGAAGAUCUCUGGUGUCUUGGGCUUCAAAGAAGCAAAAUUCUGUAGCUCUUUCUACCACCGAAGCUGAGUAUAUUGCCGCAGGCCAUUGUUGCGCGCAAUUACUUUGGAUGAGGCAAACUGAGGCAGAACCUCCAAGUUAUUGGGCCCACAUGCACCUGUCCUUGUCCCAAAGACUUCAGACGGCUAUGCAUGUGCACCAGAUAACUUAACAGGAUCUGUCCGAUUGCCCCAAGGACAUCGGAUAAACCACUUUCAACCAGAACCGCGGGAUUAAGUAACACAAAUCACACACACCAAUAUUGUUGCAGCGGAAAUCUUACUACCAAAUUUUACAAGUUACAAAAAUUUUAUAUUAGUUUAUCGGAGUGAUCACAAAAGUAUAAGUUUGAAAUAUAUGCUAGCUCAAGGGAUCAUCCUCAAUAAGAAGUAUAGAAGGGUUACUUAGACUUAUAAGAAGGUCGAGCCCACCGGCACUUAACACCAUCAACAACAGCACAAAGUUAGAACCUGAAAAACAUCAGGGAAUAAAACCCUGAGUAUGGAAUUACUCAGCAAGACUUACCCGACUAAAGAAAAGACUCUCAAGGGUAUGCUGGCUUAAGGGAGUCAAGGUAAGGCUUCUCAAUAAUCAAAGACUCUGUUUUGCAGAAAUGCUUACUAAAAGUGGAUCCUUAAAAAUCCAAUUUUAUUUAUCAAGUUAAGUAAAAUUAUCUACAACUAGAGUUCUUUCUACCCUAGUUCAAUCACUUGACCUGCACUAGCCAAUUUCUUAACAAACCCAUCAUCUUUAGUGGAUUGCUACGUGUAAGUUAGUGACCAAGUCUUCAUAACCGCGAAGGUACGGCGAUCCGAAUCGAUUAUACUCCGCUGAGGAUCUCCAAUCACACGACAUAUAUAGCACUUAACCCUUGCAUAUGUCAACCCGCCACCGGGUUUCUUAAGACCAGAUCAGGUUCACGCGAACCAAGAGCACAGAUACACCACCGUCCAGCCUCUUGCCACGGAGGGUACACGCUACUCUCGCCACCGCUCUACGCCCAUUCCGUGUUAUCUUAUUCUGGCCUUAGUCUGCCCGAGGCAAGGCUUACCCAUGACGAGGCAUGUGACCAGUUAAAGGGUCCCCGGUCAGCAGGCCUACAUCGAGACGGUCCUUAAUCGACUCAGACGGAGACACUACACCGAGACUCCUUUCUCGUGCAAGUCACCCGCCCGGUCUCAGCUUAAUCAUUUCAAACCCAAAGUUUGGUACCUGGCAGAGGUACAUCUUUUCCAAUGUUGAACCCAUCACGGCCAUGAUGGAUCCAUCAUCAAGUUUUAUUUUCGAAAACAUCCCACCCACUUUUGCCACAACAUCUUUUGUAAAAACAAAACCUUUUGUUUUUCUAAAGCAAGGCUAAGCAUCAAAAAUCUUUUGUAAAACGAGUGAUCAAGGAAGGUAAUCAAAUUCAAGGAAGGUAAUGCAGGAAUUGUUUUAUCAAUCAACUCCUGUCACCUAAUGCAUCAAGCAAGUGAGAAAGAUUUUAAAAACAUCAAGGAGGGUGACAAAUGCACCGGGGCUUGCCUGAAUAACACUAGGUUAGUGUUUGUUAGGCGAUGUCCGCUUGACGAGUAUCCUUUGUUCUGAUACUUGUUUCAUAGGUCCAUCAGCAUCACCACGCGGAGUAGCCCGUGCUUGGGGUCGACUUGGCUCAUCUUCCGCAUCACGCGAUUAUUUAUCGUACCUCAUGAGAUGCACGAUGCACAUGUAUGAGCACAUGUAUAACGAGUAUAAUAUAGAUAAUCUACACUAAAAAGGAUGAAACACUUUAAAACCAAGCAUUAAGCACCAUGGAUAUCACAACAGAGCAUCGACUACAUCCAUUAACCAAAUUGACAUAUUACACUAGAAAUCUAUUUUUAUUCCUAGCUUUUUAUUAACUCUUUAAACUAUGUAUCUUAAUUACUUGAGUUACCGAUUUAUCUAAAUCGAUCAUCACAAUAUACGCAUGCUAAAUUAAUAACAUUUAUUGAGACCAAAUAAUUCUAUUUACUCUAUUUAUAGACCUAGUUAACGGGAAUACGAAUCAACUUACCCUGACUAAUUUGACGCGAUAGUCGCAAGCACGACGAUAGUUCCGGUUGAUGCCAUC